rnacentral:lncRNA from 1 species
CGCACAACCAUGCCUAGCUAAUUUUUCUGUUUUUAGUAGAGACAGUGUUUCUCCAUGUUGCCCAGGCUGGUCUCAAACUCCUAAGUGAUCCACCCGCCUCAGCCUCCCAAAGUGCUGGGAUUAUAGGCGUGAGCCACCACACCAGGCCAAGAAGGCGGAUUCCUUGAAGAUGAUUCAAAGCCAGCCAUUAAGGAUAUCCGUAGACCAUGACCCGGAUGCUAAAUAAGCACCACCCCUUCCUGUUCAGAGGGAAGAGAGAAAGGAGAGGGAAGAAUUAUAAGCUUUCCCCUUUCUGAUGGUGUCUUCUUAUUUCUGACAAUGCUUGGGAGCGAGCUGUGUGACACCCAGAUUUUACGAGUUGCCAGCGGUGGAGAGGAGAGAGCCGGGCAUGCAGAUUCUUCAUGGACCCUACUAGAGAGGACAGAGAAAAAGAGCACUGGUGUAGGAGCCCACGGGUCUGGCUCUUAACCCUGGCCUGGUGACUUCAGCUAUUUGACCUUGAGCAAGUCACUUCAUUUCUCCUUUAGCAACAUCUCUAAAAUGAGGGAGUGAGCAAAAAUGUUCCCUUAGAUUUCUUCUAAUUCAGAAAUACCAGUUGAUUCUUAUUUAAAUAUGAACAUGACCAAAGCAUGUGCAGUCUGUAAAGCUGGAGAGGUGCCCAGCACCUUGGUGUUUCCAUUUGUGCGGUAGCCCCCCUCAUGUGAGCCCUGUACGUGAACAUAUGAAAUCUUAUGCUGCAUCCACAUUCAAUAAGAAGAAAUUGCUUUUUCAGUGUCUGUGGGAGGAGAUAAGCUGCAGGUGCUGUUUAUUUUCCCAAAGGACUUUAUAUAUGAAACACAGGGUUUAUUAAAUGUAUCAAAUGCAAUAAGAGAAAAAUCUGUCAUCUGAUGUUGAGAUAGCAUACUGGGAGCCAGGUCGGGGUACUGCAUUUGCUCACCAGAAUCAGAUCAAACGAGAUACGAGUCCUUUGGUUUGAUUGGAUUCAUCAUGAGGCAGCAUGGGUUUGCACUUGUAGAAAUCAAAACUGUUAGGUCAGGUAGUAAAGCCAAUCCUUGAACUUACAUCUUUAGUUAAGGCAUCAAAGAAUUGUAAGUUGCUUUGCAAUGAUGCCAUCUCCACAUGGUCAGAUUCUUCCAGUAAACUGUGCAGAUAUUUUACAGAAUAAGAGCUAAGUUUCAGCAUGUCAAGGAAUGAUCUGUACUCAAGUGUUAGUAAACAAGGGUUUUUUUGUUUGUUUGUUUGUUUUGAGACAGUCUCUGUCAUCCAGGCUGGAGUGCAGUGGCAUGAUCAUAGCUCACUGUAUCCUCAGACUACUGGGCUCAAGUGAUCUUCCUGCCUCAGCCUCCUGCGUAGCUAAGACUACAAGCGCAUGCCAC